CGAUUGGUUCUAUUUUGUUGGUUUCUAGGACCAUCGUAAUGAUUAAUAGGGACGGUCGGGGGCAUCAGUAUUCAGUUGUCAGAGGUGAAAUUCUUGGAUUUACUGAAGACUAACUACUGCGAAAGCAUUUGUCAAGGACGUUUUCAUUAAUCAAGAACGAAAGUUAGGGGAUCGAAGAUGAUCAGAUACCGUCGUAGUCUUAACCAUAAACUAUGCCGACUAGGGAUCGGGCGGUGCCUUUUAUUGGCCCACUCGGCACCUUACGAGAAAUCAAAGUUUUUGGGUUCUGGGGGGAGUAUGGUCGCAAGGCUGAAACUUAAAGGAAUUGACGGAAGGGCACCACCAGGAGUGGAGCCUGCGGCUUAAUUUGACUCAACACGGGGAAACUCACCAGGUCCAGACACAAUAAGGAUUGACAGAUUGAGAGCUCUUUCUUGAUUUUGUGGGUGGUGGUGCAUGGCCGUUCUUAGUUGGUGGAGUGAUUUGUCUGCUUAAUUGCGAUAACGAACGAGACCUUAGCCCUUAAAUAGAGUUGCUGGCAUUUGCUGGUAAAUCUUCUUAUGGGGACUAUCGAUUUCAAGUCGAUGGAAGUUUGAGGCAAUAACAGGUCUGUGAUGCCCUUAGACGUUCUGGGCCGCACGCGCGCUACACUGACGGAGCCAGCGAGCUUUUCCUUAGCCGAGAGGUUUGGGUAAUCUUGUGAAACUCCGUCGUGC
rnacentral:rRNA from 1 species